GAGAAAAUAAUCAUUAAAAUGUAGUCUUUAGAAAACAUUUUAUUGAAAUAUUGUCUUUGGGAAAAAUAGGGGUGGGGGCCGAGCCCCCCAUAUAAACCGAUCUCCCGAUUUGAUUUUUUGAGCCCUUACAAGCCGCAAUUUUUGUCCGAUUGCUGAAAUUUUCCAUGUAGUGUUCUGUUGUGACUUCCAACAACUGUGCCAAGUACGGUCCGAAUUAGUCUAAAACCUGAUAUAGCUCCCAUAUAAACCGACUCUCGAUCAUCCUUGUUCGGUUCGUAGAAGUGUUAAUUUUUGCUGGAUUGAUAGAAGUUUGAAGCCAUGGUUCCCAAGAUUCCGCUUUUACUUGUUUCUUUCAAUAUCGGGUUGAAAGUUAAAGCCCGCAAGAAAUGGCAAUUGUAUACUGCAAGUUUUUUUAACAUUUCAUUAGGAAACAGGGGCAAACAUCUCACAAACAAAUUAUUGAAUUUUAUUAUCAAAAUGCGUGCUCUGUUAAGAAAGUUCAGAAAGUUAAUGAAAGUUCGAAGCUCAUUUUUGUCUCAAUGGGUACAUAAAUAAGCAGAAUUGCCAGGAAAAGUCACAGUUUGGUGGAGGUUUAUGGGCUGGUGGCAUCAUUGGGCCGUACUUCUUGAAAGAUAAGGCGAAUCGUAACAUACCUGUGCAUGAUGAGCGCUAACGUGAGAUGGUAUCUAAUUUUUUUUUUGCCCAAAAUGCAAGAGUUUGUCUUUCAUGAUAUGUGGCUUCAACAAGGCGGUGCCACAUGCGACACAGCAAGCGUAACAAUGGACUUAUUGAAUGUCGAGUUCGGUGAAAAUUUUAUUUCACGUUCGGAACCGACCAAUUGGCCUCCUAUAUUUACAACUAGUUGACCCGGGCCCGCUCCGCUGCGCUUUCUUUUACUUUAUAUGGAACAAAAGUUUCCUUGGAAUAUUUAUUUUCGACAAUUAAAGAUGUUUUAGUGAAAUACCAUGCUACGAAAAUAGUAUAUUGCUUGACUAACAGCUUAACAAUAUAAGUGCUUUUAUCUGAA